AGGUGUCAAUUGGACAGAACUUCUACAAAAAUAUUGGCCAAGUACAACGUUUUUCUGCUGUUUUUUCUUGUUCAGAAUUAAACCGGUUGUCCCCAAAAUUCAGUUUAACACAAAGAAGUUGAGGACCAUAUCUUUGUCUCCAAAUAUUUGUUAGACAUGAGUGAAGUACCAAAGCCAGCUUAUCCUUACCCAGCUGCAGGUUAUUACAAGGGACCUCCAGUGAUGGCUCCUCCAAUGUAUGUUGCUGCUCCCCCUCCUAGGAGGGAACCUGGUUUUCUCGAGGCUUGCCUCGCAACUUUAUGUUGUUGUUGCCUCCUAGAUGCUUGUUGCUGGGAUCCUUUCCUCUUCAUUUAAUUAGUUUUGUGGAACCCUUAUAAUGUAGUUCAACUUAUGCUCUUUCACCUUUUUAGCUACGACUGGAUCUUCUUACUGUUUGUGUAUAUAAGCCACUCUCAGUGUUCGUUCUUCCAAGUGAAUAAAAGAGUUACAGGGUUCUAAUUUUGC